rnacentral:lncRNA from 1 species
CGAACUACUACAUCCUACUGAAGCUGCUGCUUCAACACCAGAGCCACUCGCGAAACUGACGGUCCCACACUAGAUCCCAGAACUCUCUGCUGCGAUUACCAGCGUCAACAACAUUGUAUUCAAUCUUAGAAACCAAACCAUACUCAAAGACUAUAUACUGGAAUCAGCCGCUGCCUAGAAUGCUGUUGAUAGAUUUUGCCCUUGUUGUAAACCAGCAGGAAAUAUGAUCCAGCAGAUAAUCUUGUUCUUGUUGUGACCUUCGACUGCUGCUUUCAACAUCUCAAAUCGGGCUAGCGACAUUCUUUUUUGAUGAACUUGGAACUUCAACUAUGUGGUUCCAAGACACGAUGGCGUCUUAUGCAGUUGAGUGUCAAGGAUUGAGUGGUCCAAAGUCUCGGAAUCAUCAUUCCGUACUUAAGCCUUCACAAAAAUAGAAUGCCUCAAACAUUUGCCCAUUACAGGCAAAUGCUGAGAGGAGGUUUACCUUAACUUUGUAUCCUCGCAGCUGGAGCUUCUGGAUGAGCUACCUGACUGGUAGCGCCCACGACCAGAAGCAUUGUAAACUCGGCAUUGGAGAUGGUGAAUUGGGCCGCCGACGAGCACAACCCAGAUGCAUUUAACUUGUGGAAGAAUUUGAGGGAUCAUCCGCACAAGCUAUGAUCAAUCACAAGAAACUGAAUGGAGUUGAAUUUCUUGAGGAUCGAGCCUUACUGCUUGGAUCGUGCAUUGCCA